rnacentral:lncRNA from 1 species
AAGAUAUAAGUCAUCCACCAAUGAUGUGUGUGAAAGUGAGUCAACUUAUUAUGACAAAGAUUCGAAUGAAGACAUGGGGCUUUUUGUUAGGAGGUACAACCGAUACCUUAGAAAAAAUUAAGUCCAACAUUCAGACAAAAAUCUUGUCAACUAUAGAGGGCAAUCAAAAUUUCUGAAUUGGGAGGAAGGCAAGACAAACAAGUCAAAAGGAUCAUGCUUCAGUUGCGGAAAGACCGAUCACUAUAAAUCAGAGUGUCCCUUAUUGAAGAAA